GUGCUCGCUUUGGCAGCCCAUAUACUAAAAUUGGGACAAUGCAGAGAAGAAUGGCAUGGCCUCUGUCCAAGGAUGACAAGCAAAUUCAUGAAGCAUUCCGUAUCAAA
ensembl:snRNA U6 U6 spliceosomal RNA